rnacentral:tRNA from 1 species
GUUUCCGUAGUGUAGUGGUCAUCAUGCUCACCUGACACGCGAGAGGUCCUUGGUUCAAAACCGAGCGGAAACA